rnacentral:lncRNA from 1 species
GGUGCUGAGAUGGAAGUAGAGAGUUUCAUUCAGGUAAGAUGGCCGUCACCUAGAGAUCUGCUGUACAAGACAGUGCCUUUACUCAACAAUGAUGCACAGUACAUGACAAGUGUUCUUCCUACAAUACCAGAAAGAUCAACCUGAGAGAUAAAUGGCACUUAAUUUCUUCAUUGAACAUGGAAAUAAACUCAGAAGUUCUUUUUGCUUAUACUCAUUGAUGUGUGAUGUUCAGCUUUGUGACACAGGAGACAGAUUUCUAUUGAUAUUUGGGUGUGGUUUGCCCCUGAGGGUUCCUAUAAGCAUCCCUAUAAUACUGGAGGCUGUCCACGGUUAGAGGUCAUAGGAACUCAUGGGUAUGGCCUAGCAAACAGUUCUAGGUCACUGAGAUACAAGACUACUCUAAGAAGGGAAUACUGGUUCAUUGAGUGAGUUUUGGAAAGGGCAAGUAGUAACAAGGGCCUCAAACUGAUUCUCUCUGGAUUCCUGUUUUGUAGGUGAGUUCUUAUAUUUGCACAUGCCUGGGCCCUCUUUCAUAGACGUUCACUGCAGCUGAGCCACACUCCAAAAGGGGUUAAAUAAAACUCUUUACAAAGCCAUAAAGAUGCCUAAGGUAUUUCAUACGACACAAAACAGACUAACACAGCAUCUUCUUCAAAGGAAGAAAAGACCAUUCCUUCAACACCAGUGAUUUAAAAAAAAAAGACCCAUGGGUUCCUCUAAAACAAAUGUGUGUUUUAGGAAUUUCCUAACCUUUUACUUAUUGGGACUAAAUAAUGACCUUGUCUGUUCCCAUCAUUCAGCUAUCAUGUCAGGUCCAAGUUUAUUUAAAGGUGCUGACCAUUAGCACCUUUUUGUAGGUGCUGAAAGAAUAACCAGCAUUUUCAUUCCCACAAGCAUGGGGAAGAGACACAUAGCUUGACAAUCUUAAGAGACCUUAAAAAAUCCCCCCCCCCCCCCGUGAUGGUUCAUAUAUUUUUGGACCAGGGAGUGGCACCAUUUGGAGGUAUGGCCUUGUUGGAAUACUGCCUGGAUACUGCCAUGCUCCCACCUUGAUGAUAAUGGACUGAACCUCUGGACUUGUAAGCCAGCCCCAAUUAAAUGUUGUUUUUUAUAAGACUUGCCUUGGUCAUGGUGUCUGUUCACAGCAGUAAAACCCAAACUAAGACAGAAGUUGGUACCAGGGACUGGGGUAUUGCUGUGAUAGGCCUGACCAUGCUAUUUGAAAGAAUGUGGGUUUUGGGACUUUGGAUCUGGAACACAGUGGAAUGCUUUAAAUGGGGCUUAAUGGGUCAUCCUAGUAGGAAUAUGGAAGAUUUUGUUGCUGGGAGUAAUUUGAACUGUGUUGACCUGGCCCAAGAGAUUUCAAAGGAGAAGAAUUUCAGAAAGUGGCAUAAAGUGGUAUUUUGGUGAAAAAAUGUGGCUACUUUUUGCCCUUGUCUGAAAAGUCUGCCUGAGGCUAAGGUGAAGAGACACAGAUUAAUUGCAUUGACAAAGGGAGUUUC